rnacentral:rRNA from 1 species
GCUUACGGCCACACCACCCUGAGCACGCCCGCUCUCGUCUGAUCUCGGAAGCCAAGCAGGGUCGGGCCUGGUUAGUACUUGGAUGGGAGACCGCCUGGGAAUACCAGGUGUUGUAAGCAU